rnacentral:lncRNA from 1 species
AUGGCUCUUAUUUGUACAGAGCUGAGGUGUGGGUGGGGACUGGUGAUGGAAUUCCUGAAAUGCAGAGUGCUGGCACAAGGCUAUGAAAGCCUCCCCUUCCCUAGGGCGUCCAUUGAGGAAGGAUGCUUUUUUGGAGAUCGGAUUUGGACAGGAGGCUUUGGAGCUGGUGGAUCUGGCAUUGAGAGAAAACCUCAUGAUGAGACAAUCCAAACAGAAACAAGUGAUAGUGCCAGAGGAUAAGACACCUAGGUCAAAAGAAACUCAAUCUUACAGGUGAGCAAUAGAGUACAAAAUCUGAAAUAAUGUUCAGCUGUUGACCUGCUAAGAGGUGAAAGGAAAGUCCAAAGCUGCACAGCACAUAUUAUAGGAAUGUUGAAUGUUAAAAGCAUACAUCAGGGAAUCUAGACACUGUUAAAACAUGACAUGGAAUGUAUAAACACAGCUCAGUAUGAGCUCGCUAAAGUGAAUGAGAAUGUGACAUUUUGAAUCAAUUAAUUUAUACAGGGAUUUAUUUAGGAAAUGAAUAUGAGAAAAAAAAAACCAGGAUGGCAUUAACUGUGAAGAGAGACGUAACAAAAGCAGUCAAGGGAUAUAAUGUAAACUCCACCUUAAUAAAAUCAAGAAGACACUAAGGAAAACCCAUCAAUGCUCUUGUUACAUCUCAAAUAG